GGCAGAUGAUGGAGGUUUUCUCACGGUGGUCUGCGGAUGCCACUGUGGGCAGUGCUCAAAGCGCCAAUGGCUCAGCUAAUGCCAGGGG
ensembl:snoRNA